rnacentral:rRNA from 1 species
UACAGAGGGUGCAAGUGUUGUUCGGAUUUAUUGGGCGUAAAGGGAGUGUAGGUGGGGACUUAAGUCAGUGGUGAAAUUUCGGGGCUUAACCCCGGACUUGCCAUUGAUACUGAGUUCCUUGAGUAUGGAAGAGGGCGAUAGAAUUCCUGGUGUAGCGGUGGAAUGCGUAGAUAUCAGGAGGAAUACCGAUAGCGAAGGCAGUCGCCUGGGACAAUACUGACACUGAAACUCGAAAGCAUGGGGAG